rnacentral:rRNA from 1 species
CCUACGGGAGGCAGCAGUGGGGAAUAUUGGACAAUGGGCGCAAGCCUGAUCCAGCAAUGCCGCGUGAGUGAUGAAGGCCUUAGGGUCGUAAAGCUCUUUUACCAGGGAUGAUAAUGACAGUACCUGGAGAAUAAGCUCCGGCUAACUCCGUGCCAGCAGCCGCGGUAAUACGGAGGGAGCUAGCGUUGUUCGGAAUUACUGGGCGUAAAGCGUACGUAGGCGGUUAUUCAAGUCAGAGGUGAAAGCCCGGGGCUCAACCCCGGAACGGCCUUUGAAACUAGGUAGCUAGAAUCUUGGAGAGGUCAGUGGAAUUCCGAGUGUAGAGGUGAAAUUCGUAGAUAUUCGGAAGAACACCAGUGGCGAAGGCGACUGACUGGACAAGUAUUGACGCUGAGGUACGAAAGCGUGGGGAGCAAACAGGAUUAGAUACCCUGGUAGUCCACGCCGUAAACGAUGAUAACUAGCUGUCCGGGCACUUGGUGCCUGGGUGGCGCAGCUAACGCAUUAAGUUAUCCGCCUGGGGAGUACGGUCGCAAGAUUAAAACUCAAAGGAAUUGACGGCUGNGAGNGCGAGCGACGACGAGGAGAG